rfam:Arabis alpina cultivar Pajares Aa.chr6_contig_2820, whole genome shotgun sequence.
AACCCGUGAUGAGGACAAUCUCUAUGAUAUCCUUUGAACCUUUCCCACGCAGCUUUGAACGCUUAUGUUGGUCCUUGAUUGAACAUGGAGAUCUUAGCUCGUAGAU